CGGGGUGAGGAGCGCGUGGAGAACCUGCCCCGGUAUGGGGGAUACCAGCCAGAAAUGGCUGCUAAUACCGCAUACGAUUCCCUGCUGGUAAGGCGGGGAAGGAAAGCUCGCAAGGGCGUACUGGGAGGGGUCCGCGUCGGAUUAGCUAGUUGGUGGGGUAAAAGCCUACCAAGGCGACGAUCCGUAGCUGGUCUGAGAGGACGGCCAGCCACACUGGGACUGAGACACGGCCCAG
rnacentral:rRNA from 1 species